rnacentral:misc_RNA from 1 species
AACAUCGCGCACCUGCGGGAACCUGCGGAGGGAUCAUUACAGGACUCGCAAGACUCCUUAAACCCCUGUGAACUUACUGUUUAUACGUUGCUUCGGCGGGUGCUCCGGGGUCCGCCCCGGGGCGCUGCGCCCGCCGGCAGCCUACUUAAUUCUGUUUCUCUGCGUUGGCAUCUCGAGUAAGCAAAAUAAGUUAAAACUUUCAACAAUGGAUCU